UUUUUUUUUUUUUUUUGGUUAAAGUAUCAUUUUUAUUAUUCACCCAAUAAGAGGAUAUAGUUACAGAACCCUAUCUCUGCGAAAAGAUGGAUAUGCGAAUUUGUCCAUCCGAUAUUCACCCCUAGCCAUUGCAGGCAACCCCACAAUACUAUCAUACAUACAGACCGAAUGAGAAGGAUGAGCAGGUCGCGGAUGUAUUGGCCAAUAUAGUUAUCAGAUUUUAAAGAAACAAAAAAAAAAUUUUGUAAAAUACAAAUAACAAUAUAAUAAAAAGUGGAAUAGAGAGUAGUACAAAAAGUGAGACAGAAGAUUCGUUACCUAUGUUAUUUUUAUUCAAUUCUCUUGUAAUGUUCUCUCUCUUGUUUGUUAUUGUCACUAUGUUAUCUGUAGAGCAUAUGCAGUUAAAUUUGGUGGAGUUAAUUUCCUGAUAACUUUCUAAAGUUAUCCAAGGCAAGAUCACCAAAUUUUCUUCAACCCAAGAAGAACCAAAAAAAAGAAAAAAAAAACAGAGAGAGAGUUUUCAUUACUACUAUUUUGAGUCUAAUUUUGCAGACUUAUGAAUAUGUGGUUGUGAAUACAGAUGCCUCUACAACAUGCUUGAAAACAGACACUAAAUUAAUAAUAUAUGCCUAAAAUAACUUAUCUUUUUUUUUUUCCGUUCUAAUCUAAAAUGACUUGUGUAAAUUACAUAAGAGAAAUCAACUACAAAGCACCUUUAGGCUUUACCCAACUCCACCACAAGAGAGUCUCCAAAACAAGAUGCCCCAGUCAAGUAGUUCAUCACAUUUUGAGGGGGAACUGUGCUUUGAUAUUGCCAAGCUGGUUCAGUUAUCAAUUUUAGUUGGUUCAUAUUAUGAAAUGGAGAAGGGUGAUCUUCGAGAGCAAUGGACUCCAUAGCAAGAACCUUUGGGCAAAUAGUAAUAGAAAAUAACAAGUUAGAUUGAAAAAUUAGCCAAACGAGAGCUCAUUUUCCUUCCAUAUAAAUAACUUGGACGGGAGUAAAUAAAUCCGUUUUCUAAAAGAUCAUGAUUUCCAUACUUUAGGGGGCUUUCAAGAUCCUUUUAAUUAUCUAAUCGGAUGAUUGUCCCGCAAUGUAUACAGAAAAUACACUUCGUAGUGACAAAAUUGAGUAAAUAAAGCACGUAAAAUUGAGAACCCAAAAAAUGAAAAAAUAAAAAUAACAACAACUACUACUACUACAUUAGCGACAAAAAUAAAUGUUGAAAGCAAUCUUUAUAAUCCUGCACUCCUACUAGGAGUUGGCGUUAAAACCAUUUCAUCUCUUAAAGGACUGAUACCACUUUGCAGACUCUUAAGUUUAUACUGUUUUAAAUUUUGUACUAUCAACUUUUAUUUUGCAUAGUUUGACCCUACAAUUAUCACAAUAAUUUUAUUUUUUUUUGGAGCGCAAUUGUCACUAUGCUUCAAAUCUCAUUAACUAGUUUUUUUUUUUUUUUUGUGGGUUUAGGUUGCUAAUUAGUAAAUGAAUGCAAGAAAACCAAAGCGCACAGUUUGGGCUUACCCAAAACAAAAACAAAAACAAAACAAAAGGCACACACGUUGAAUCAUUCUUUAGCGAGUCUUAGCCAGAGAAAGGGCAGCAUGGUAUGUGGGCAUAUGUUGCACAUUUUCAUUAAUUUGUGUGCAAGAUAACAGAUGGUGUGUUUUUAGGAAUUUGUUAAGGUAGAAUUUUUACAACUACUUUUGUAUAUUUGAAGAGUCUGGAGAAUAUUUGUAGAGCUCCGUCACCCAACACAUGCCAUCCACGCUUGUAAUUGCACCGACAAGCAACCACCAGCACCCCUUCCACCACUGGCCACCCUAUCCCUUUGUCUUCCCCCCACCACCACCUACCACUACCCCACUCUUCUUGCCCGUCACCACUACCAGAUCUGGUCACGGGGAGGGAGAGGGAUGAGGGGGGAGCGCGGGCAGGAGUUGGGGAAGAGGGGGAGAGGAAGGAGGAGGGGAGGGGGAGAGAGGCAAGAGGUGGCAGGGAAGGAGCAGGGGAUGAUGGGACUUGGAAGAGGGGAGGAAAGGAAAGCGAAGAGGAAGGCUGCGGUGGCGGUGAUGGGGGGUGAUGAUAGGGAAAAGGGGUGGUGAGGAGGAGGAGAAGGGAGAAAAAGGGAAAGGUGAAGAUAGUGGGGGUGGCAGUGGGCAGUGAGGGUGGCGGCUGCAACGGUGGAAUGAAGUGAGGGCGGCAGCAACGGUGGUUGAAAUGGUUAGGGAGGGUGAUGCUAGACGAAGGAAAUGGGUGUGUGUUUAUUGGAUGUUUUGGGAUAUGUUUUUUUUGAUAAAAUUUAGAUCCUCUGUGUUUUUUGGGUGUUUUUCAAAAACUAGUUUUUCAAAUACAAUAAAAUUUUUAAAAAGUAUUCUAAAAGGUAAUCUAAAAAUUAGUUUAAAUUUUUUUAAAAUUUUAAAAAAUAUCUCAAAAUAUAUUUUAAAAACUCUUCUACUCUUAAAUAUCCUAAAAUAUUUUUUAAAAAUAUUUCAAAAUAUACUUUAAAAACUCUGGUACAGCAAAGUUUUUCAAAAAUACCCCCAAAAACAACUAAUCCAAACGGAGCCUAUAGUGUUUUAACAAGUUCUUGUAGUUAAAGUUGAGAAAAAUUUUUGUCUAUUAAAACAUGCCACACAGCGAUACUAUAUAUCCAAAAUAAAAUUUUCAAGAGUGAAAAAAAUGAAAAUUUGAAAUGCAAUACAUAGAAAUCAAUAACCUUAGGAUAUGAAGUGCCCAAACAAAAAUUCAAAGUGCAACGUGAAAAUCAUUGAGAAUAUUGAGAGUGCAACUAGUAGAACUAAUCUUGGUUUACCAUCAUAUAUUAGCAAUUCUAGAUAUGUUUUUCCCACAAAACAAUGUCCCAGACUCCCAGUCCCACAGAUUAUACAUAUAUCUACACGUGUGUAAUCCUCAACUUUAUUUUUGUGAAACGGCUCUUGAAAACUAGAAAUACAAUUCAGCAAAGGUAAUUAUCAUUGGAACUCUGAUAUCUGUUAACCAGACUUCUCUUAACUCCCUUAAUUUACGUGAAAAGACAUUAAUACAUUAAUUUCAAUUAUAAUUACAACCAACCCCUUUUUUCCCUGUAUUACAACUGAAAUAUAUGGUAUAGCAUUCAUUUUUGCAUUUGAUUAAAAUAGUUAAAAAAGAGUGCUAUUCGAAUUAGUACUCCGGAGUAUAAAGACAUAUGGAUAGAUGAAAAUCUUUGACUUUCAAAAAGGAUAAAUGGAAAUUGGAAAGGGGCGGCGUAAAAUAGUAAAUUACCUCAACGGUGGACAAAGACAGAGCAACAGAUUUGGCAUUUUUCAACUGCUCCAGAAACUUGAUCAGAUUCAUGGGCAUCUUUUCUUCGAUUUGAUCCGUAUAUGGACGUUCAAGAAGUGGGUAUAGGUCCACAUAAACCUUCUCUAGACAGGGAAGAUCCUCCAUAGCACAAACCAAAGAAACCUGACCCUCAAACUUGAAUGAAGUCAAGUUUGGGGCAGAAAUAGUUCCCAUCUUCGAUUCUCAUGAAAACUGAGGAAGAGAACCAUAAAAUAACAAUUCCAACACCUUAAGCUUGGAAGCAGAGAUGGCUAAACCAUCAACUAUGCAACAAUUUAAGGUCAACUCUUGAAGAUUUUCGAAACUCGAAAAGGGUUCUUUAGGAAAACAAAAGGGUUCACCAUCAUUAAACUCAAAGCGUUCGAGAUGCAGUGAUUUCAGAGUUGGUAAGCAAAAGGGGUUUGGUAUAAUCAUGCUCUGAGAGUAACUCUUCAGUCUAAGCUUUUGCAGGGAUCGACAGGUGAAAAGGCACUGAGGAAAUUGGAAUGGUUCGGGAUAAUGAUAUGCAGCGAUAUCAAGUUCUUGAACUUGAUGGUUUAUUGCAUAAUCGACACAGUUACAAACAAAGCUUGGAUCAACAUUAACGCCAAAGGCUAAUCGAAAUUUAUGUAUGCUUGAGCUGUUGUCACGAUGAGAAAGAACUUGAUUAACGAAAUGAGUAUAAGGAAGCAAGAUUUGUUGAGAUUGCCAUACCGGGGAAGGAGAUUGGAAUCUGUAUCGGUCAAAAUCAAAGUUGAGAUCUGGAAGGUAAGUCCAGAGGGGAAUCCACCUUUUGGACAAUGCACUAGUUUGAAUAGACUGUUUGAGGUCGAGAAAUGAAAGGAUUUUGCAGAGAAUGGAAUCAGGUAAGUUGCUGAUUCUGUCUUGAUUCAUAUUGAUGAACUUUUGCUAGCUCUUGGAUGAUUUCUUCAUAAGCCAACCUGAAUUUUCGUGAAAUUAACAGUAUUAUCUGUAAUUCUAAUUUUUGGUGCUGGGCUGAUUCUCACAGAUCUUGGUUUGAAGCUAGGAGUCAACUCUAAUGCCAGAAGUCUAUAAGAAUGUUAUAUUUUAAAGGUAAGACUUUUGUGCUUGUUGACUAAGUCUCUUACCUCAAUUCUAUGUAAUUUCUUUCCAAUCAACAAGAAUUUGUCACCUAAAUAUUUAUUUCUAUGUAGAUGUGUUGCACAAUAAAAUGUUCUCAAUUCCAUGCCUUAUCGUGAUUUUUAUUUUGAGAAAUGGCCGUUGCAAGUUGUUAAAAGUAAUUAUUAUUGGCACUCCUAUAUUUUUUUUUUUUUGUUUUCGAGUCUGGAGGCUAAUCCCUCUAAACUGGCUGAAAUUUGCCCUCAAAGAUAUUCAACAACGAUAGCAUGUGAAGGUCGAAGCUGGAACCUUGCUGUAACUACAUACGAUCAAUCCCAACCAAUCUACCUGCGGGAACACUCCUAUAUUUGUUAGUGAUACGAUUUUUUUCUCGGUCACAUAAUAGGGAAUAAAUUCCCGUACUUUUAAUUGUGAUAACCUUGAAUAUUCACUGGACACAAAAGAAACAUUCAUAUUCCCAUUUUAUCCCCCCCCCCCCCGGUUAGAGGGAAAGUAACACAUGCAUGCAGGAUAACUCAUAAAAAUUAAGGUAAAAAUGAUAUUUAGCCUCUUGUAUAAAAGAAUAAAAAAUUCUAGUAAAUGAAAAAUAAAUAGAGAUAAAAAAGAUCAUAAAUAAACAUAAAGAAUUAGAUUUACCAAAAUCUACACGAGCAUAUCAAAUACUCUAUCUACUUCGAAGUUAUUCAUUUACUCUCCAUUUAAUUUGGGGUUUUUCUCUCAUUCCUUUUUUUUUUUGUUGCCAUGUUAAAUGAUAUUAUCUGGCAAAUAAAAAAUUCUUUCAUUUUUCUCCGUAUUUUUUACAAGUGACAUGUUGAGCAAUGAAUUUUUGUGCCAAAAAAUGAAAAUUGGCCAGUUGUGUUGUCAUUUGCUCUCAUUUACGAGGGUUAGACCAAAGCCCUUCUUUUGAUCCCCCCCCCCCCCCCCAAAAAAAACUUUGUAGACAAUUUUUUUGGAUAUUAUUUAGUGAAAUUAGCCCUCUAUUAAAGGCGGUACAAGGAAUUGGUACGGAUAAUGAAUUUCAAUAUUAAUCUGAAGUCGAGACAACGAGAUCAGAUGCGGGUAGGCUAGUAAAUCUGGUGGAAGGUAGACGAUAUCCAAUUUCACAACCAUAAAUGGUCAUCCUUACCAACCGCUUUUGUUAGUUUGUGCUAGAUUUCUGUCUUUUUCUACUUUUCUUUAAUCCCUGUUCUACCCACUAAGGAAUGCAUUUACUUUGACAAAAUUGCUGCUUUUACUAAUCCUCCUUGCAGGUUUAACCAAGUCAAUUUCAUUAUGUGUGCCAGAAUAGGAAUCCCUCAAGUUCUCUCUUUUGCAAAACUGUGGAUGAACUUGCUGAAAUCAUACAAAAAUUUGCACUCUCAAAUAAUGAAAUUAAAGGAACAGAUCUUGACCAGGAGGAUGUUGAUUCACGUGUUCAAGAAUAUAAUUCGAGCCUCACAGGGACAAUUAAAGGGGGGAAAACUAGCAAACAUCACAGGAGUUAAAGAAUUUGUUACUAUAGCACGGGGAUAUCCGAGGGACUUGAGAGUUACUAAAUUAGGGCUAAAUUUGUUUCAAUUCUCGAUCCCUAAUGAAACUGAUAGGGGAAGAAUCCUUCAUGGAGGGCUGUACAUAUUGGAUAAUCAGUGGUCUAUUUGGUAUCUUCUUUUGCCUGUUUUUAAUAGACAAUUUUUUUUUAUAACUUUAUUUGUAGGAACUCUUUAAAAAUACUCUAAAAUUUCUAAAAUACACACUUAAAAAUAUCCAAAAAUAUACAAAAUUUUUUCUUUCUUUCCUUUCUUCUUCUUCCUUGUCCCCCACCUUAGCUUACUACCAUCAGCGGGCACUCUAUUAGCAAGCUCCCCCCCCCCUCCCCUCUCUCUAUCUCUCUUCCUUUCCUCCUCCCUCUUUCUUCUUCCCUCCUAAAAGUAUAUAUGCCUUAAAAACAAUCAUUUUUAGGGAUUUUAUAUAUACUUGAACUACUUCUGCAUUAAUAAAUAUUAUCUUUAUCAUAUUGAUUGUUUGUACAUUUAUACUUGUAUGAUAAAGUUUCUAGGAUAAACUUAAUCAAUGAAAUCAUAAGUGUUAUGAUGGUGAGAUUUAUUUGAUUAAGUAUAAAAUUUAUUCUAAAAUAUCUAUAAUCAAAAUAUUAACAAGAAUGGGACAUUAUUAAUAUGGUUAGAUUAGCAUAUACUAUAUCGCUUCCAUUAGGGAAGUAGUAGACCUCAUCUAUUAAUGUGAUGUGUGAGAUACCUAAACUAAUCUUUGGUUACGUGAUGAUAUGAUCAGUUCACUAUAUUGAUCUGCAUAGAGAUUUCUUUUGUACCAAAAGAAUUAAUCUUUAAAUGGCGUUUUGUGUAAGUGAUUCUUGGACUUAAGGUUAUUAUGGUAGCUUGAGUGUGGAUUAUUGUACUUUAUUUGUUAUAUGAUUACUUCCGUAAAAGAGAAUGCUUACAUUAUUAACAUAUGGGUAUAUUUCAAAAAUUCUUAAUACCAAGUGAAUGAGUCUUGAAAAAGUGUUUUUAAGUACUUAUUCUUUUGGAUUUAUAUUUUAGUACAAGAAAAUAACAUUAAUCGCAUAAUGGAAUUGGCACGAUUCAUUCUAUAAUUAAUGUGAAAUAAAUAUGGUAAAAGGAUAUUAUUUACAUGGUAAACAUUUGUUGAAAGGUGAAGUCAUUCACUUGACUUUUCUCAUUAUUUGGGUGAUCAUGAUAUACUGCUAGAUGCCAAUCUUGAUCUAUAAAAAUGUUGAUUGAUUAGUUAAAUCAAUGAUAAAUUAACUAUGCCUUCUUUUUUAUCAAAUAUUGGUUGACAAUCUUUGUAGAACAAUCUUGAGGAUGUCAAUGGUAGGCCUAGAUACUUCACAGGUAAUAGUCCUUUUGGCAUCUUGACAAUAUCACCAAGUGAAGUGGCUUUUUGCUUAUCAAUUCCUGCAUAAAAAGCUUGGCAUUUCUAUAGAUUAGGCUGCAAACCUGAAAAUGGUAAUUUUGGUCUCUUAUCUUUGAAGUUUUAGUCAAUUUAAUCCCUUAUCUAUUAUUCUAAUCAUUUUAGUUCCUUACCUUUCCUACAAAAAGCCAAUCUAAACUCUCUAAUAAACAAAAAAGAAAAUUUGCCAAAUUGGUCCCUAACAUAUACAACAAAAAAAAAAAACUUUUUUAAUCUCUAACAUUUAAAAUCAGUCAUAAUAGUCCCUAACAUAUAAAUUAUGAGUCAUUUUGGUCCUAAUGCUCGUAUUUGCUCAUUUCUCCGACUGAAAAUAUCACGCCUCUCUCACGUGAACAUAUUUUCAAGGGCAAAACCGAAAAACACACUUCAUUUCCCUUCUAAAGCAAAAGUGCACGGGACCACCACCCCUUUUUCACUUUCCUCCCUCAAAUUACAGCCACAAGAAACCCUAAUUCCCUACAUCCCCUAAUUAACAAGCAUAACUUGAGGAAUUAUGGUGACGAUGACAACAACGAGAAAGGUGUAGGCGUGUGAUUGAGGAGUGGUCGAAGCUUUUGCCAAAAAAAUCGUGAGAUGCACGAGUUACCUAAAAUGCACGAAGAACAUCACAUAUCAAGACCAAAUUUUAGCCCCACACCCCAAACCCAAACCGACCUGAAAUGUUUAAAAAGCUUACUCCAUAAUUUAGGCACCCAUAGAAUCUUCUUCCCGGAUUUGCAGGUUUCCAAGAAGUCACAAUGAUGGGUUCAUUUCCACAAAGACAUCACUUCUUGUUCGGAUCCAUUGUAUUUUUCAAUAGGUCAGCUUCUUCAUUACAUUUUCUUGCUAUUCUUCCUCCAUUGCCUAGCCAUCCAAUUGCAACCGUGUUUUUCUUCUUCAAUUUUGGUUUUGAUGUGAGGCAAUUAGGGUUUAAUUGGGGAAAUAUGAAAGAAAGAUGGAAAAACUCAACCGAAAAUGAAGUGUGUGUUUCGGUUUUACCCUUGAAAAUAUGCCCAUGUGAGAGGAGUGAAAUUUUCAGUCGGAGAAAUGAGCAAAUACGAGCAUUAUGACCAAAAUGACUCAUAAUUUAUAUGUUGUGGACUAUUAUGGCUGAUUUUAAAUAUUAUGGACUAAAAAGUUUUUUUUUGUAAAUGUUAGGGACCAAUUUGGCAAAUUUUCCUAACAAAAAUUAAAAAUUUCUAACGAAAUUAGUCCCGUACACAAUAUGUGCAUCACUAAAAAUGACUAUUUUGCUCCAUUAUCACUAUAGUCAUAUCGAAUUUGGUUCCUCGUAUGUCGCCACAUACUCGUUAGUGCGUGUGUGUGCUUUUUUUUUUCCUUAAAAAAAUCUACUGUUUUUUUAAUUUCAAGGAUAGACUUAUAGUACACAAAACUGGCUCUAUGAGGAUUUUCUAAUUUUCCAUCAAAAGUCCUAUAUUGAUUUUAUUUUUGUGAAAAUGAGAGUUUACAUUAUCAAAAGGAUAAAAUAGACAACUUUGAAGAUAAUGGAUUAAAACGGUUAUUUUUAACAAUGCACAUUUAUUGUGCCUGACUAACUCCUCUAAAAAUUUUCAAUUUUCCAUUAGAUGCCCUAAAUUGACAUUUUUCUUUUUAAUAAAGAUAAGGGACUAAAAUGAUCGCAUCAAUAGAUUAAGAACUAAUUUGACCUAGAUCCCAAAGAUGAGAGACCAAAAUUAAGCCUGUCAACGGGUCGAGUUCGAUCGAAAUUUCAAAUUUAAACCUGUUUUUAUGUAGUAGAUCCAGACCCGACCCGUAUACCCGACGGGUCUUGAACUUAUAGUCCCGAAACCGGGUCCGACGGGUCUCAGGUCGGAUCUAUCGGUUCCCGAGUCAGACCCGGUUCUAUCCGAAAAGAAAAGGCUCAACUAAAAAUAAGGUCCAAAACUACCUACAUAUUAAGAAGUUUGCAAAAAUGAAUUACAGUCAUUCCAAAACUAAAUCCAAAACCAAUCACAAAUCAACUUCCAAACUUAAACAAAUCAAAUUACAAAGCUAAAUCACAAAUAACUCGCAAUAGUCAAUCCAAAACCAACCACAAAUCAAUCUAAGGUUUGUUAUUUGUUAAUUUGGUAAAAGAAUGUAUUUAGAAAUAUUUAUAUUUUACAAUUAUUAAUAUAUUAUUCUGGUCCAGGUCGGAAUCCUAUAUUUCGUAUCCAACCCGCUUUUUUAUUAGAGUAAAUGGGUACGGAUACUGGUCUGGAUAUCGGAAAUAUUUCCCAAAUUACGUGCACCUUUUUACACAGAUCCAUCGUUAUGGUAAUUGUAAAGUUCUUGAUGCGAGGUUUAAAGAGUUAAUCAAACAAUUACUAAAAGAUUGCAUAGAAGUUAAAACUGCUUAUAUUAUUAAUCUGACAACAUCCAGCUCAAAAAAAAAAACGAGGACAAUAUCCAUAAUCCAAGCACAUUCUACUGGCCUAGUUGCUUUACUGAGGAAGCUUAUUAAGCUUGCAAUAGGCAUAAUCUUUGAACUUCUUGGUCUUAAAUUUUGGCGGAUUUUCCUCAUUCACAAGCUUUGGAAUUGGCCCAAUUUCUUGCUCUGGGGGUGGCUCCAGGAACACUGGCCAUGACAUUCUUGUCAUCUCCUUGUUCACGGUUGUUCUGUGGAACACACUCUUGUACUUUGCAUUGCUUAAAAUCUAUCAAGAGAUUAAUUGGAAAAGUGAAAUUAGCAUUAAAAAAGAAACAUUAGACAUGCAAGGAAAUCAGAUAAUUGUAUGUUGAAAGAAGAAAUGCCAAAUCCUCGUAAUAGUUGUGAAACUCACAUUGGAGAGCUCAUGCACUUAUGUGGAGAUAGCACAAAUCAUGUAUGGCCAUGGAUAUUUGGAUAGUUAUCCGACGUAUACUGUUCCAAAAUCAGAAAUCUUUUCCUCAUUUUAAUUGAUUACCUUCUAAAUUGAAUUUACAGAUAUCUUAAGAAGUCAAUUAGUAUAAGUUGAUGGAUUAUAGUCAGAAUAUUUCUGUGUAGCAUAUGGAAAUUUGUACAUAUCAAUGUCUUGCAGGACAACCUCCUAGUGAAACAAUUAGUUAAUCCAGAUCUACGAAUAAAUUGCAAAAAGAAAAAAAAAGAUGAAGGAAAUGUGUCCUAUACAAAGUACUUCAAUUUCUGUGAAAUAAAUUCCUAUCAUACAGUGCCAGUUCCAAUAUCAAUUUUAAAGGCAAACAACAUAAGCAAAUUAUUCAUUUGUAACAGGCAAAUAAUACCAAAGAAUUUAGAGACAAAAAAACAAAAGCAUAGAACAGUCAAGAAAAUGACUUACCUGAAUUUGGUCUCCAAUGUGGACAAUAAGGGCAUUUGGUAUGUACUUGACAUCAUACCAAUAAUCAUCCUUAAAAACUUGAAGCCCUGGGACCUCAUUGGGGACAAGAAUGGUGAGGCCUGACAUAUCUGUAUGUGCCACUACACCAAGGGCCAAAUCAGGGCGAGGGCAUGGUGGAUAGUAAUUUAUUUUCAUCAUGUAAAUGAGGUCUUCACCCCCCAUACCAUCCUUCAUCUCACUUGGUUCUAACCCAAGCCCCUUUGACAGGUAUUCAAACAUCUUGUCAGCCACUCCUCUAAGCCUCUUAGCAUAAUCUUCACUUGUCUCUCUGGCAUCCAAAUUCCAAUGGAAGAUAUAACAAUUAGUGGGUAAUUAGUACAAAAUGAUGAAGGCAUACGAGUUACCAACUUAAUUGUAUAGGCAGCAUGAGUGAACAUUCUGUGUACAAUAGGCUUAUUCUCAGUUGAUUUUGAUUUUUAAAUAUAAGUUGAAAGCAAGCUCAAUAAUCACCUUUAGGGAUUGAUUAGCAGUAUUAUUGUGCUGCAAUCUUUCCACACUCUACUGCAAUUAUCCAAUUGAGACCACCUAAUAGAUAUCUUAAGCAUAUUUUACGGUUUUAAGUAAUAUUAUUUAGUUUACCCUAAAUUAUUAAUUGCACUCAAACUGUUAUUUAUUUACUUCAGAGACCUGUGACAUAUGUCUUCAUGUAAGCGUCAAAAUAUUUAAGUGCACUUGAUUCUUUCUCGUUAGUUAUAAAUGCCUUAAUUUGGGUAAAACUGAGAAAUUAAAUUCCCUCCUAAACAAGAGAAGAGAAAAAGAAAAAGGUCACAACAAUUAGUUGCUCCUUGUCAUUUUUUUUUUUUUGGGAGCUAUUUGCCUUAAACCUCAUAGAGGUGGAUUUGGAUUGUCAGUGCAACCGCAAACAGCAUUUAAUGGCCGAGAUCAGCCCAGUAGAACUUGAGCUAACCUCGACUGUUGACUUGAAAUUCAUUUGAAUUUUAAAUCAAUGGUCAAGAUCAAUUCAAGUUUGGUUGAGCCAAUCUCAACCUUAAAUGUUACAGAAGUGGUUUGCCGCAAACAAUCCGGAUCCCAGAGCGGCUGCCACGCCAGAAGCCCCACCACCACACUACUCGAUUUUUAAAGGGGCAAAUUACACUUUACCCCUUGUGGUAUAACUAAUGUUUACAUAAUCCCCUCUAGUUUUAAAAGCUAUAUAUAAUCUUCUCAUAAUUUGGAUUAAAGUAUCAAAGUGACAGAAAUAAUCAUCCGUAAUAAAACUUAUAAAAUGUCAAAAUUACCUUUAUUUAAAAACUUAAAUUGUUUAAAUGACCAAAAUAUAUAAACAUAAUAUGCAUGACACUCUAACCCCGUAUGAUUUUAUAUUUUACCAUAUAACCCCCUUAUGGUUUAGUGUUUUAUCAUAUACCACCCUUGUAGUUUUCAAUAUAUAUACAUAAUCCUCCCGUGGUUAAUAAAUAAUUUUUAACUUUACAUAAGAGUAUUUUUGAUAUUUUAGUUAAUUCCAUUAUGAAUUGCAAAUUUCAUCACUUUGACACUUUAAUCCAAAUCACAAAAAAGUUAUAUAUAACUUUUAAAACUAUCAGGGGUUAUGUAAUAAAAUAUUAAAUCACAGGGGGUAAAGUGUAAUUUGUCCUUUUUAAAAACCAGAAAACAAGGCUGAUUCUACACUGCCCAGUGCAACCAAAUUACAUUUUCUUGUGAUGUAAAUCACAUUUUGAUUAUCUUUUUUUAGAAGCAAAUAUAAAUCAGAUUUCGAUUAGAGACGUCAAAUUGAAGGAAACAGCUUGACCUUGACAAAAUUGUUGAAGUUUUAAACUUCUUCCAAAUGGUAUCACUUUUUUUUUUUAGGGAAAAAUUGACAAUUUUGCUUUUAUAAUCUGGUUUUGGCAUGUUAAUGAUCAGGAUCAAAUUGGCCCGCCCAUAAUACUUUCAAUUUCCUCAUGAUCGAAAGACUUUCUGUUGCAAGACAGAGUAGUUGUCUGCAUCAUAAAGUCAGAAAAUGCUAAAUCCACACUUCUCAUCCUAAAUAUACAAAUUUCAUUGUCAAUAGUACAACAUAAUUGUACAAAUCAUCAAUCCUACUAACAGUAAGAGACAUCAAUGCAUCAAGGUAUCAAUCAGCCCAACUUUGCAAAUGGAAUUUGGUUUUGUACUUUCUGAUUUUCUUUUUCUUCCUUUUUUUAUUGUCUUUUUAAUUAAGUUUGGGUGGCAUGUCAUUUUUUUUUUUUUGGGUUUUUACCCUUUUUUUUUUUUUUUUUUUAAGAGUUUACUAGCAUAUGUAAAACUUGACAAAGCUAAAUUAGAACCAACAAAGUACUACUCUUGAUGAUGCAGACAACUAAUUGUUCGGUUUCAAAAACAUGAAUGAUGAGGAAAAUAUCAAACCUGUAAGAGGGUGGAUUUUUAGGCCAAAACCUAUAGUUAAUGGCAGAAGGAGGCCAUAUUAUAUGGAACAAGUGAUCAACCCAUCCUUUCUUGCCCUCAACUUCUUUCUGCAACCUUGUUCCAUAACCCUCAAUAUUCUGAGAGCCUGGAAUCUUAGCAACCAGUUCUUUUUCCUCUAGUGGAAGCUCAAAGAACUCCUUCCCAACUUGCUGCAGUUUCCUCAUAACCUCCUCUGGGAUGCCAUGGUUGACAACUUGGAAGAUCCCCCAUUCUCUGCUAGCCUCAGAAAUCAACCCCACAAUUUUGCCUUCAUCAGGAUCGCUCAGAUCAAUCACCGGAACCUCAAGAACCGCCCCAUGGAAGGUUGUUACUGCAGGUUGCUCAUUUUCUGAUCUGAUGUAAUCUGUUGGAAUAGUAUCCAUGCAUUUGGAUAGCGAAGCAAUUUGUUGCACUCUUUCCAGCUCCAUUUCUUUUUUUUUUUUUCCUCCCUCACUCUCCAACAGAAAAACUUUUGAUGAUUUUCUUUCUUUGCUUCUUUAUUUUAUGCUAGAGUCUUGCCUCUUUGCAGCAUAUAUAAAGGGAGGCAAGACAAAAGCUGGAACCAAAUUCAUCAACACCAGCAAUAAUAUGCAUUGUGGAUGUCAUUAAUUUUCUUUGAAAAGAUAAAAAAGGGGUUACGUGGGUGAGUCUUGUUCAUUUGAUAGAUCAUGCCAAACCUCAACAGCAUGCACCGCUAUAGUAGCCUACAUCUUGCAUCAUACGAAGAAUAUGUUGAUAGGAUAGUUGGGUUAAAAUUCUCUGCGUCUAUAAAUUACUAUUGAUGGCUCAGAUGAAGUUGAUUUGAAAUCGAACAAAUUAUAUUGGUUACGUAAUACAACAAUUAAUUAUGGGCAAAAUUCUUAGUGUUUUUCUACCUUUUUUAUUUUAGUGUGACUACAUUUAUUAUUAUAGUACUUAUUUCUAUUGUUUUAAUGCAUACAUUAUGUUGUUCAAUUGAAUGCGACAGUUAGAGAACAUUGGAUCCAGGAUGGUUGGUGGCUUGGUACCUAAACUUAUUGAUGCAUAGCACAUGACCACAUGAGUUGAGUGUGCAAGUUAAAUAAAAUUACAAUUUGUAAACAUGACUUUUUAUAAUAACAACCUAAAGAUCAAUUUGAGUAAGGAUUUAUCGUUUUCUUUUCUAUUUUCUGUUUAUAAAACCUGUUAAGCAUUUGAAGCCUCGUAGUUUUCGAACUCCUCCUCAACUCCAUAAAUUUGUGAAAAAGUUUUGAACCAAUAUAUUACAUCCUACUGAAUGUAUAAGAAUUGUCAUCACUGUUAAAAAAAAUUUUUAGAAAAGUGCAGAAUUGGUUGAAUACAUUCGAAUUAUAUGAUGAUACACAAAUAUAAUCACCAUUUUGCCAUGCAUAUCACCUCACGAGUCUUGUACUACUCUCUGUCCCACUUUUUACUAUAUUGUUAUUUCUCCUUUAUAAACAUCAUAUUUUAGUUCUUUUUUGUUUCCUUAAGAUCCAAUAACUAUUACUUAAGUAAUACACAAAUACAACAAUCUCAUAAAAGCAAUAUAUAAUAGAAAAUUAAAAUGUACAACAAAAAAUUCAUAAAAAAUCUCAUUUUUUAUGCAUUUUGGCUUUUUGAGUUGUUACGUUUCGUGUAUUCUUCAAUCAAUAGUUAUUGGAUCUUAAUGAAACAAAAAAGAAUUAAAAUAUGAUGUUUAAAAAUAAGAAAUAGUAAUAUAAUAAAGUGGCAUAGAAAAUGACACACGAAAUGAGAUAGAAGAUCCGUUGCAGAGAUUUACCAUCAAAAUUAGAGAUGCUUUCAGAAACCUUCCUUGAGGUUUAUAACAAUUUCAUUUGACUCUCCUGAUGUUUCAAAUAUUACACAUACCACCUUUAUUUUGAGUUUUAAUGUAACAGUCAACCCAUGUCCAUAAACAAUUAUAUAAAAUGCUAAAAAAUACUUUCAUUCCCGAACCACAAGUCAUGACUCAUAAAGAUGGAUACAAGAAAUUCAAUUAAAAAAAAGUAUAAUCCAUUGAAAAAGUUAACGAAAUUUAUCUUGAAGAGUUACUCAUGUUAUGUUGUACUGAGUUAGAUACAUUUUAACUAAAUCAUUGGAAGAGUUAUUAUCGAAACCUUGACACUUGAAAAUACUUAGGUGUCACAAGAAUUUGAAAUUACAAAUUCAACUUUUAAAGGGUUUGAAAUUGUAGAAGAGAAAAUGAAUUGAUGUAUUCCCUAUUAGUAAUAAUAAACUAGACCAUAUUAUCGCAUUUUUCACAUUAUUAAAUUUAACAACAUCUAAAAAUUAAUAUCUUAAUUUGAUGAGAGAUAUUUGUUAUUUUUCUUGACUAUUUUUUUGCAUGAAAAUUUAGAUAUUUAAUUCCCUCAAUGAUUCUUUUAUGAUUUUAGCUUGAAAUAAUUUUGUCAGAUCAAUUCAGUUCCUUUGAUUGCACUUUUGUAGUCAAUCUUCCUUUAGUUUAAUCUAUUAUGUUAGCAUGCACGGGUAGUUUGAGGGAAAAAAAUGCUUUUCAACAAUUAAUAUUAUUUUUUUAGAUAUAUGGACUGACUUUGUUACAUAGAAAUUCAAAAUAGGGGAAGUAAGUGUAAUAUUUGAAACCACAUUGGAGCCAAGUGAAAUGGUCAAAAACCUCGAGAGAGGUUUCUAAAAUUAUUGCUACAAAUUAACUUCAGCAAAUACAUAUGUUAUCAUCGCAAAUAAGGGAUUAAUCUUUUAUAUAUUAAUAGUUUAUACACUAUCAAGUUUGAAUACAUGACUACUAAUUUUAAUUUAAAUUUGAAUUCUAAAUUUUAAACGUAUGGUAUACAUCUAAAUCCAAUAAUAUAUAUACUAUUAGUGCAUAUACGAUUAAUGCAGUUUUUUCUACUUACCAAAGUAGGCAUAAGAGUACCAAACGCUUUCCUCACUCGAGAUUCUGUUUUUCAUCAUGGUUUGCUGCAUUUUAUACAGAGCAAAAGCAAAAAAGAUGGAGAAAUUCACGAGGAAGCAUUUUAACUUCUUCAUAUGCAAUUCAAACCCAAUGCGAAAAUUUUGAAGUCAAAAAUAGACCACAGAAAAUCACAAGGUGUAUAGCGCUUUUGUCAAUUUAUGUCUUUAUUAUGCAGGAUAGUUUCAGGAACUUCCCUUGAAGUUUUUUGACAAUAUUAUUGAGCUUUCUUGAACUUUCAAAAAUUUCACUUACCUCCUUUAAUUCCAAUUUUGUUGUUCCAAAUUAGCCUAUGUUACGAAAAGUAAUAUUCAAAAAUGAAUUUGAGGAGAGAAAGGAGAAAUUCAUGCCAAAAUACCCUUUUGUAGUCUUAUUUAUUAAUUUAUUACCAAAAAAUUUCUCUCAAGUAGGCACUUUAUAAUUUUACACAAGUAUUUUAAUAGGCACUUUAUACCCUUCGUCAAAUAAAAAAUGAUGCAAAAUUAACUCCAUCCACGUAAUUGAUGAAAGGACUAAUUUAUCCUCUAUUAAAAGCUUAAGUGGCAAAAAUUUCCUUUCAAUGGGAAAAAAAUUUUCACUUUCAAGAGACUAAUUUUCGCUUUAUAAUAACAGUCCAAUUAAAAACACAUAAAAAUGAAAUGCUGGGCCACUUUCAAUGACAACUAAAACAAAAGAAGUGGAAGAAGCAAAAAAAAAGAAGGAAGAGAGGGAAUCAAUCAGUUUCAAGAAUGUCAGCAAUACAAUUCCACUACAGAUUUUAAGUCAGCCCAAGUCGGGAGAGGGCAAUGUAAAAUCCUGUUUAUUCCUCUAAUUCCUAGUUGUACUUUAGUUUUCUUGUUGCAUGCAUAUAACUAAGUGGAAAAUUUACUGUAUUUUGUCGAAACUUCUAAGUCCAAUAUUUUGUUUACUAAUAUGUGGGUUUCAAUUUAGCUUUGAUUUUUUUUUUUCCAAUUCAGGUUUGAUAUUGAACCUUUGCGGCUAUUAUUGUCUAAAUUCUUAUAAAAAAUUUUGGUUCUAAUCCAUUUAAAUUCUCGUGAAGAUUUCAAGUAAAAUUUUGCCUAGUAUAUGAAGCUCUGGGUUAUGAUGAUGAGAUUUUAGAAAUUGCAAGAGUAGCGUGUCAACAAUUUAAUUUUCAUAUUUUACCCUUUAUGUUUGAACCCCAACAACCUUAAUUACCAUCUAAAAUGACCACGUAUUUUAAAUUUAUUUGUUUUCAAUUAGACUUUUAUUAUAAAGUGAAACUUAGUCUAUUUAAAGUGGCAAUUUUUUCCCACCAAAAUGGUAUUUUUGCUACUUAGGAUUUAAAUAGAGGAUAGGUCGGUCAUUUCAUCAAUUAUUUAGAUGGCAUCAAUUUUUUUCAUUAUUUUUUAGUUGACCAAGAGUAUAAAGUACCUAUUAAAAUAGUUUAGAGUGUAAAAUACAACUGCAGUAAUAGUUCGUGGGUUUUCUGCAUUUAGUUGGACACUGGUUGUAUGUGUUUCACAUGAUUAAAUAAGCAAAAUGAUACCUUUUUCAAGACACUCAUAUUCAACUAAUAUGUUUGGUGCUAAAUGUUUUAACUUGUACUAUGCAUAGCCAUCCAACCUCUAAAGCCAUGGAGUUUUGAAGUGCAUGAAACUCAACCAAAGAAAGGAAGACUUUUUUUUUUUUUUCGGGAUUUCCUUUUGUGAAUUAAAGAGAGAUACUUGGCAAAUGCUACGUCUUUUCUUUUCUUUAUUUUGCUAUUGAUUUAUUAAAUAGGUAGGUAGCCUCAGCCCUCAGCCGUUGGGUAAUGGGAAGCUUAAGGAUAAAUUUCUUCAGAUGUCCCCAAAAGGUACUUGUAUAAAGGUUCUUUACCUUACCGUCCUUCAACUUCAAUAAAUUCUUAUCAAGUCCUCGAGUCGUUUUAAAUCAGUCAGUCCAGUACUCUAGUCCCUUCAAAAGUUCGUGAAAUCAUAUUUAUUUGAGUUUUGUUAUUUUAUCCUCAAUCCUUCUCCUAUUUUUUAAUGUUAAUAGAUAAAUUUUUUAUACCUUGUUAGUAUAUAAUUUUUUUACACUAGUAUGUUCAAAUCAUGCCACCUACAAAUUGAAAUUUAAAAGGAAAAAUCGUUCAAAACGUCUUUCGCAUUAAAUAUACACGACAGUAUAUAUAAAGUUUAUUCUUUUGUAAAAUGAAUUUUUUUUUUAUUUUUAAAAACGUAAUUUUGCGUUCCUUACAAAUUUACAUUAGUCAAAUUUGAUCCCUAUCUAAAUUUUCUACUAAUUUUUUGUCAAAACCCACCACGUGUGUUGUAUGAUAUUAUUUUUGAUGGACAAAAUUAUCAAAUCACAUUUUUGAGUAGCUAGUGUAAAUAAAUUACACCGUCAAUGCAUAAAAUAUUAAUCUUUUUUAAUCACCCUAGUAUACUUUUUAACUGUCUUUAGCGUAAUACAACACACACACAAAAGAUCAUACGACUUAAAUAUCUUUUUUGUGAUAACCACCUUGAUGGUACUUUAUAAACGGUUAUACACGAAGCAAACUUUCUGAGAUCUAUUCAUACUUUUUGCCCUCGGUUAAGCUUGUUAAUUGUGCACUUCAUUGAUUAUUCGAAAUGACACCUGGCCACCCAAGAAGUCUGUCAAAAUCGUUUGUUGUAUUGGAUGCUCCAGUACACCCAACACUGCUAUGUUGCUGAAAUUGCAAUGGCAGAACCUGAUAAUACCCCCAGGGAAUAAUUUUUCCUCACGUUACUACUACCACACAAGUAGGAGUGAUCAAACCACGUAAAAGCCUAGAUGAUGAACAUAAAUAGGAUUGCAACCUAUUUCCACACAGGAGAUCAAUCAGAUAGAUGAUGUAGCAGACUGAAUACUAGCAAUUAGAUAGAUGAUGUAGCCAGAAAAAGAGAAUCCUAAAAUACGUAGGCAUUAAAUGUGCAGACCUAGCAUAGACAGAACCAACUCAAGAGAUCACAUUAACAAACAGCUCAAACUGAGACAUUAUUUGGACACACAAGACUUUGAGCCCAUGUUAAGGUUCAAAAAAUCUCCAUUACACAUUAAAGCCUCAAAUCUUCCAGAUAACAGAUGUACAUUUUAACUUUCAUACGCACCAGAGGAAUUCCAACUAUAAGCACAACAUUAACGUUUUACGUUUAAUUUGCAAAAUAUGCUCUUUGAUA
rnacentral:lncRNA from 1 species